rnacentral:rRNA from 1 species
AUCGAACGCUGGCGGCAGGCUUAACACAUGCAAGUCGAGCGAGCGGCAGACGGGUGAGUAAUGUCUGGGAAACUGCCUGCUCGACGGGGUAAACUACUGGAAACGGUAGCUAAUCCCGCAUGCCAUCAUAUGUGCCCAGCUGGGAUUAGCGAGUAGGUGGGGUAAUGGCUCACGUGGGCGACGAUCCCUAGCUGAUCUGAGAGGAUGACCAGCGACACUGGAACGGAUACACGGUCCAGACGCCUACGAGAGGCAGCAGUUGGGAAUCUGGCGCAGUGGGCGCGAGCAUGAUGCAGCCAUGCCGAGUGUGUGAAGGAGGCCUUCGGGUUGUAAAGCAGUUUCAGCGAGGAGGCGUUACUCGCAGAAGAAGCACCGGCUAACUCCGUGCCAGCAGCCGCGGUAAUAC